CAAUAGCGUAUAUUAAAGUUGUUGCGGUUAAAAAGCUCGUAGUUGGAUUUCUGCCGAGGACGACCGGUCCGCCCUCUGGGUGAGUAUCUGGCUUGGCCUGGGCAUCUUCUUGGAGAACGUAGCUGCACUUGACUGUGUGGUGCGGUAUCCAGGACUUUUACUUUGAGAAAAUUAGAGUGUUCAAAGCAGGCUAUAGCUUUUGAAUAUAUUAGCAUGGAAUAAUAUUAUAGGACUUUGCGUUCUAUUUUGUUGGUUGUUCGAGGACGCAAGUAAUGAUUGAUAGGGACAGUUGGGGCAGUCAGUAUUCUUGAAGCAGAGAGGUGAAAUUCUUGGACCUUCGGAAGACUAACAACUGCGAAAGCAUUUGCCUAGGAUGUUCUCUUUAAUCAAGAACGAAGGUUGGGGAGUCGAAGAUGAUCAGAUACCA
rnacentral:rRNA from 1 species